AUUGAACGCUGGCGGAAUGCUUUACACAUGCAAGUCGAACGGUAGAGGGGGCAACCCCUUGAGAGUGGCGAACGGGUGAGUAAUAUAUCGGAACGUGCCCAGUCGUGGGGAUAACGUAGCGAAAGUUACGCUAAUACCGCAUACGAUCUAAGGAUGAAAGCGGGGGACUCGCAAGAGCCUCGCGCGAUUGGAGCGGCCGAUAUCAGAUUAGGUAGUUGGUGGGGUAAAGGCUCACCAAGCCAACGAUCUGUAGCUGGUCUGAGAGGACGACCAGCCACACUGGAACUGAGACACGGUCCAGACUCCUACGGGAGGCAGCAGUGGGGAAUUUUGGGACAAUGGACGCAAGUCUGAUCCAGCCAUUCCGCGUGCAGGAUGAAGGCCCUCGGGUUGUAAACUGCUUUUGUACGGAACGAAAAGGUUUCUAUUAAUACUAGGAGCUCAUGACGGUACCGUAAGAAUAAGCACCGGCUAACUACGUGCCAGCAGCCGC
rnacentral:rRNA from 1 species